ACUCCUACGGGAGGCAGCAGUAGGGAAGUCUUCCACAAUGGGCGCAAGCCUGAUGGAGCAACACCGCGUGAGUGAAGAAGGGUUUCGGCUCGUAAAGCUCUGUUGUUAAAGAAGAACACGUAUGAGAGUAACUGUUCAUACGUUGACGGUAUUUAACCAGAAAGUCACGGCUAACUACGUGCCAGCAGCCGCGGUAAUACGUAGGUGGCAAGCGUUAUCCGGAUUUAUUGGGCGUAAAGAGAGUGCAGGCGGUUUUCUAAGUCUGAUGUGAAAGCCUUCGGCUUAACCGGAGAAGUGCAUCGGAAACUGGAUAACUUGAGUGCAGAAGAGGGUAGUGGAACUCCAUGUGUAGCGGUGGAAUGCGUAGAUAUAUAUGGAAGAACACCAGUGGCGAAGGCGGCUACCUGGUCUGCAACUGACGCUGAGACUCGAAAGCAUGGGUAGCGAACAGGAUUAGAUACCCU
rnacentral:rRNA from 1 species